AUAGAUAGAUAGAUAGAUAGAUAGAUUAUAGGUGGAUAGAAAGAUAAAUAAUAGGUGGAUACAUACAUAGAUAGAUAGAAAGAAAUAUAAUAGAUAGAUAGAUGGAUAGAUAGAUAGAUAGAUAGAUAGAUAGAUAGAUACUGUAUGGCUAGAUAGAUAGACAGAUAGACAGACAGACAGAUAGGUCAAUAGAUAGAUAGAUAGAUAGAUAGAUAGAUAGACAGAUAGAUACUGUAUGGCUAGAUAGAUAGACAGAUAGACAGACAGAUAGACAGACAGAUAGGUAGAUAGAUAGAUAGAUAGAUA